rnacentral:rRNA from 1 species
AUUGAACGCUGGCGGCAGGCCUAACACAUGCAAGUCGAACGAGUGGCGGACGGGUGAGUAAUUUUUGGGAAACUGCCUGAUGGAGGGGGAUAACUACUGGAAACGGUAGCUAAUACCGCCUACCAUCGGAUGUGCCCAGAUGGGGUUUGCUAGUAGGGGGGGUAACGGCUCACCUAGGCGACGAUCCCUAGCUGGUCUGAGAGGAGGACCAGCCACACUGGAACUGAGACACGGGCCAGACUCCUACGGGAGGCAGCAGUGGGGAAUAUUGGACAAUGGGCGCAAGCCUGAUGCAGCCAUGCCGCGUGUAUGAAGAAGGCCUUCGGGUUGUAAAGUACUUUCAGCAGGGAGGCGUUACCAACAGAAUAAGCACCGGCUAACUUCGUGCCAGCAGCCGCGGUAAUUC